rnacentral:rRNA from 1 species
AGCGGACAGAUGGGAGCUUGCUCCCUGAUGUCAGCGGCGGACGGGUGAGUAACACGUGGGUAACCUGCCUGUAAGACUGGGAUAACUCCGGGAAACCGGGGCUAAUACCGGAUGCUUGAUUGAACCGCAUGGUUCAAUUAUAAAAGGUGGCUUUUAGCUACCACUUACAGAUGGACCCGCGGCGCAUUAGCUAGUUGGUGAGGUAACGGCUCACCAAGGCAACGAUGCGUAGCCGACCUGAGAGGGUGAUCGGCCACACUGGGACUGAGACACGGCCCAGACUCCUACGGGAGGCAGCAGUAGGGAAUCUUCCGCAAUGGACGAAAGUCUGACGGAGCAACGCCGCGUGAGUGAUGAAGGUUUUCGGAUCGUAAAACUCUGUUGUUAGGGAAGAACAAGUACCGUUCGAAUAGGGCGGUACCUUGACGGUACCUAACCAGAAAGCCACGGCUAACUACGUGCCAGCAGCCGCGGUAAUACGUAGGUGGCAAGCGUUGUCCGGAAUUAUUGGGCGUAAAGCGCGCGCAGGCGGUUUCUUAAGUCUGAUGUGAAACCCCCCGGCUCAACCGGGGAGGGUCAUUGGAAACUGGGGAACUUGAGUGCAGAAGAGGAGAGUGGAAUUCCACUUGUAGCGGUGAAAUGCGUAAAGAUGUGGAGGAACACCAUGGCGAAGGCGACUCUCUGGUCUGUAACUGACGCUGAGGCG